rnacentral:rRNA from 1 species
CAAUAGCGUAUAUUAAAGUUGUUGCAGUUAAAAAGCUCGUAGUUGGAUUUCUGGUCGGAAGCUCCUGUCCUCUGAUGAGCGUACAAGUGCGUCCUACCAUCCUUCUGUUAACCUUUAAGGCUUUCGCGGCUUUCUAGGGGCUCAGAUAUUUUACCUUGAGAAAAUUAGAGUGUUUCAGGCAGGCUAGCGCCGGAAUACAUUAGCAUGGAAUAAUGGAAUAGGACUUUUGCCUCUUCUGUUGGUCAUGAGGCUCGAGUAAUGAUUAAUAGGGAUAGUUGGGGGCAUUAGUACUUAACUGUCAGAGGUUAAAUUCUCGGAUUUGUUAAAGACUAACUUAUGCGAAAGCAUUUGCCAAGGAUGUUUUCAUUAA